rnacentral:rRNA from 1 species
AGAAUCAACGCUGGCGGCGUGCCUCAGACAUGCAAGUCGAACGAUUAAACUUUCCUUCGGGAAAGAUAUAAAGUGGCGCACGGGUGAGUAACACGUAAGUAAUCUGCCUUCGAGUGGGGGAAUACCUUCGGGAAACCGAAGAUAAUACCGCAUAAUGCAGCGGCACCGCAAGGUGACAGUUGUUAAAGGAGCAAUCCGCUUGAAGAGGAGCUUGCGGCAGAUUAGCUAGUUGGUAAGGUAACGGCUUACCAAGGCUACGAUCUGUAUCCGGUCUAAGAGGACGGUCGGACACACUGACACUGAAUAACGGGUCAGACUCCUACGGGAGGCAGCAGUCGGGAAUUUGGGCAAUGGGCGAAAGCCUGACCCAGCAACGCCGCGUGAAGGAUGAAGUAUUUCGGUAUGUAAAACUUCGAAAGAAUAGGAAGAAUACAAAUGAACGGUAACCAAUUUAAUUAAAGGUACCCGGACUAACUACGUGACCAGCAGCCGC